UUAGCCCGGUAGUCUCUGUCUGAUCAGCUGUUUGUGACGUCUGCGGGCGGAGAAAGAGAGAGAGAGAGAGGGAGAGGUCACACCCAACCUGGCCUGACCUAAGCUGAAUACGAAGGAAGGAAGGAAGGGAGAUCAAGAAGUAAGGACCUAAGAAGCCAUAAAAAGCGUUAGAAGCCUACAGAGGAAUGAGGAGAAGCUAGGUGGGCGUGGUCAGACUGUACAAGAUGAAGAAAACCCUUCCUGCCUCACUGCCCAAGACUCCACUCCCUCCGCACCAGCCUCAAAGCAUCCCUAACCAGACUCCACACCCACAGGACAACUCUAGAGGACGAACAAGAAGAGAGGACACUAUUACAGGAGAUGGUUCCAUGGCCUUCCCAGCCCCCUAAAGCACUGAAGAAGGCAAUGAGGAUCUCAGAUACAGCCGGGUGACAUCCACAGGACAUGGCACCACCAGCGACAGUUCCUGAACACCUACGGCGGCUUGUGGAACACGCUCCUUGCCUCGCAGCAGAACCUUGAGGGCGUGACUCUGCAAGGCUUCAAGGAGUGUGCGCACCAGUGGCUAUUGGCAGGUUGACGGGGGUGAAAGGACACAGGGCAGGCCUUAAGAUAGGCAGUUGUAAUGAAGCUGCCUUUGGCCUAUAGUGAUAUGUGAACUUAAUUGAUUAUGUAGCACUCCCGUAUUGUGUAAUGGUGGAGAGAGAGAGAGAGAGUGGGGGGGUUGCACACUUUAUGUGGCUGGGAGAAUGAAGCUGGGGGGUUUGUAAACAUCCUGUGGGGUGACAUCCU